ensembl:misc_RNA Metazoa_SRP Metazoan signal recognition particle RNA
GCCAGGCAUGGUGGGGCGUGCCUGUAAUCCCAGCUACUUGGGAGGCUGAGACAGAAGAAUCACUUGAACCCAGGAGGCAGAGGUUGCAGUGAGCCAAGAUCGAGCCACUACAUUCCAGCCUGGGCAAUAGAGUGAGACUCUGUUUCAA